AGCGAACGCUGGCGGCAGGCCUAACACAUGCAAGUCGAACGAACCUUUCGGGGUUAGUGGCGGACGGGUGAGUAACACGUGGGAACGUGCCUUUAGGUUCGGAAUAACUCAGGGAAACUUGUGCUAAUACCGAAUGUGCCCUUCGGGGGAAAGAUUAAUCGCCUUUAGAGCGGCCCGCGUCUGAUUAGCUAGUUGGUUGAGGUAAUGGCUCACCAAGGCGACGAUCAGUAGCUGGUCUGAGAGGAUGAUCAGCCACAUUGGGACUGAGACACGGCCCAAACUCCUACGGGAGGCAGCAGUGGGGAAUCUUGCGCAAUGGGCGAAAGCCUGACGCAGCCAUGCCGCGUGAAUGAUGAAGGUCUUAGGAUUGUAAAAUUCUUUCACCGGGGACGAUAAUGACGGUACCCGGAGAAGAAGCCCCGGCUAACUUCGCG
rnacentral:rRNA from 1 species